rnacentral:rRNA from 1 species
GACGAACGCUGGCGGCGUGGAUUAGGCAUGCAAGUCGAACGGUAUCAUCCUUUCGGGGGUGAGAGAGUGGCGAACUGGUGAGUAACACGUAGGUUAUCUACCCUCAAGACGGGGACAACCCAGAGAAACUUGGGCUAAUACCGGAUGUGAGCAACUUUUAGUUGUUUGAAAGGUGGCGUAAGCUGUCGCUUGGGGAUGAGCCUGCGUCCUAUUAGUUAGUUGGUGAGGUAACGGCUCACCUAGGCAAUGAUAGGUAGGCGGCCUUAACGGGUGGUCGCCCACACUGGGAUUGAGAUACGGCCCAGACUCCUACGGGAGGCAGCAGUCGAGAAUAGUCUACAAUGGUCGGAAGACUGAUAGUGCGACGCCGCGUGAACGAUGAAUCCCUUCGGGGUGUAAAGUUCUUUUAUAUGUGAGCAGUGCUUCUUAUAUUAACAGUAUGGGGAGAGAGAUAUUAGCAUAUGAAUAAGCAACGGCUAACUCCGUGCCAGCAGCCGCGGUAAAA